rnacentral:rRNA from 1 species
UACGUAGGGGGCCAGCGUUGUCCGGAUUUAUUGGGCGUAAAGAGCGUGUAGGCGGCCAGGUAGGUCUGGUGUGAAAACUCGAGGCUCAACCUCGAGAUGUCAUCGGAAACCAUCUGGCUAGAGUCCGGAAGAGGCGAGUGGAAUUCCUGGUGUAGCGGUGGAAUGCGCAGAUAUCAGGAGGAACACCGGUGGCGAAGGCGGGUCUCUGGGCCGAAACUGACGCUGAGGAGCGAAAGCGUGGGGAGCGAACAGG